UGCAUCCGUCAUCUGAAGUCUAUCAAGAACACAAAACUCGCCAGGCCUCUGUGAUUGGGUUUCUAUAUAACACUACAGCAGCAUUUUAUAUGGCUCCUAUGUUUCCCUGAAGUCAGAUUUUCAGAAAUCUUAGCUUCACUUAAUCAACUUUCGGUGCCACUAAUUCAGAAAAGCCUUGACACCCGGGAUGAGAGAUGAGAGAUCUCUCAUCUUUGUGAUCUCUAUCUAUCAGUUGAUCACGAUGAAGAAGAGGACUCACAAGACGACGGUCUGAUCUGCCUGUGCGGCGUCAUUAAGAUUCACGCUGCUCCAAUAUAUGGCAGUUUUUAUUGUAGUGGGAAUAUUGAUGAUGCUGCACCAGCAAAUCUAUGACUAUAUUUGCUUCCCGCUGUACUUUGGAUCCAACCAAUCUCAAUCGGAAUUCUUAAUUUCAUGUGAAAUACAAUUAAGCUUGCUGCAGGAGGCCUGAAAAGUAAAAAUUUCGACAACGUAUACGUAUAGGAUCAAGUACAUGAAGAACGCGCAAGAUACAGUGACGAAGGCGUUGGGUUCCUGAUUGUGGUUUUCAAAUUGGUACAUCCUGACAGAUAUCACCAUGUUGAAGAUUUGUGGACUGCCUUGCUGAUGGCGAGAAACUUUCAGACCCUAGAUUGGAGUUCGACUGCUUACGACCUAUUUUCACAUGCAUGGAUUUUGUGUGGGAAUGAGUGAAUCAGUGAACAGUCACUCCAACGCGUGGUGUGACUUUUAUGGUGAGUGCAGUAAUCUGCCGUGGAUGGGGAUGUAUUUGGUUCAGAAUACUCUUCAUGGCUGUAUACGUACGGAUCGGAUGAGAAACUAUUAAUAGCAUUUGAAAACUUUCUUCCAUAAUGUUUAAUUUCCUUUUCCGUCUCUGUUUUGCUUUAAGCGUGGACGAUAGUACGAACAUGGUUGACACGACCACAA